rnacentral:misc_RNA from 1 species
AAGUCGUAACAAGGUUUCCGUAGGUGAACCUGCGGAAGGAUCAUUCAUAAAAUGGAGGUGAAAAUUUUAUUUGAUUUUCAGCGGAAUUUUUCUGCUAGAAUUUCAUUUUUCAUCCUCUUGUUGAUUGUUUUUUCAACUAAAAAGGUCGCAAAAUUGAAGGGAAAAAGAGAAAUUUUUUUGGCUGGGUUUGAAACUUUGAAUUUUCGCAAGGAUUUUCUUUUUUUCAGUAAAACCAAUUUGAUUUUCCUGCCGAAAUUUUUUCAAUUUUUGAUUUAAGGCCCUAGGGAGUUUGACCUAUUUGAUCAAUCAAAAAGUUUUAAACAACUUUUAGCAAUGGAUCUCUAGGCUCAU